rnacentral:sRNA from 1 species
AUGUACCACGCGUACACUCCGGUUCCUGCGCGUCGUCCGCACCCACCAGACGGUCGCUACGUGUUGUUCGCC